AGUUGGCUGCUUGGGAUGUGAGUGAGGCCCCGGGGACGUGGGGAGCUGGGGCUUGGGCUGCGCCCCGGUGACGGCAGCCUGGGGCCCUGCCGUGGCCUUUUCUCUGGAAAAGCCGCUCCCCGUUUCACCGUCUCCUCUCAGUCUGAGUCCCCCUGACUCUGCAGGGCAGGACGGCCCCUGAAAUCGGACAGCUGGGAGGCCGUUUGCAGCAGUUUCUAACCCUCUCUCCCCAUCUUCCAGGAGCCCCCACGAGAGCAUCGGGCCCCUCUGGGAAAAGAGAGAAGAAGCCAAAGCCGAGGAGCAGCAGCAAAGCAAGGAGCUGCUGAAAGAGAUGGCAGCCGAGAGGCAGAAGAUGGUCUGGGAGUGGCAGGAGCUGCGAGGGUUUCUGGAGGAGCAGGAGCAGCGGCUGCUGUCCCAGCUGGAAGAGCUAGAGAGAGCCAUUGUCCAGAGAAGGGAUGAGGGCAUCUGCAGACUGUCCUGGGAGAUUUCCCUGCUCAGUGAGAGGGGAGGAGAGAAGGGGCAGCAGCCGCUGAGCCAACCCCUGCAGGGUGCUGGGAGCACUGGGGGCAGGUACGUCCUGGGCUCCAUUUUGCUCCCCCUUAUGGGCCAUUAGGUUUGAUAACUGCACUGAAUAGGAAGCUUCCCCCUGCCCUUGGAGCAUGUGAUUCUGUCUCCCGUAGUGGCUGACUCAGGUAGGAGAAGAGCCGGUCACAGUCUGAUCGCUAAAGAGGUCAGAGCAGGGCUGCUAGACACAGGGCCGAUGGGACCAACCUGGCCUGUCUCCUGAACCGAUGUGGCCACAUCACGUAUUCAGAGGGUGCAGAAAUUCAGCUUUCACAUUUUUUAAAGGGAGUUCCUGGCCCUCAGCAUCUCCCCAGUGUAAACGGAGACAGUGUUGCCUUGCUGGGACUGCCAGAAGCCCGAAGCCGUAGCUCAGAGAGUGUGAACUCUCCUGUCCCCUGUUAAUGUCAUCGGAGUGUCAACUGAAGUGACGACACUUUGAUGUCAACAUUCAACGUUCCCUGGCUGAUCACCUGAGCAGCUGGAACGGGGACGGGGCGGGAGUGAAGCCUUUGCUUGGUGGGAAUAGGACAAUGGUUCUCAAACUGGGGGUCGGGACCUCUCAGGUUAUUACAUGGGCGGUCGUGAGCUGUCAGCCUCCACCCCAAACUCCACUUUGCCUCCAGCAUUUAUAAUGGUGUUAAAUAUAUUUAAAAGUGUUCUUAAUUUAUAACGGGUCGCACUCAAAGCCUUGCUAUGUGAAAGGGGUCACCAGUACUAAAGUUUGAGAAUCUCUGGAAUAGGGGGUUGCUGUAGGGAGGGAAGAACAGAGGAGAGACACAAGGACGAGGAAGCAAGAGAGAAAUGGAGAAAGGAGCGUGGGAAAGAAAGGGAAGAACUAGCAGGGGCCCUACAGGGGUGUCUGGGAAGGGGGCUGUUUUCCUCCUGAGUGAUACUGAGUGUGAGAGACAAAGACUUAGCAAAAUACUAAGAACUAAAAUUAUAUUUCCUACACGAGGGGCAGAUUUUCCCCUUGUUUUUUGUAUGUGGGUGUGCCAUGGAGAGCAGUGGGUGUUCUGCUGUGAAUGGAGCAAGGCACGGAGGCCUAAACUGAUGCCCUGGGCCACUGACCAUAAUGGACAGUGAAAUAUGGCCCUCUCUGCCAAAUGAGCUGGACACCACAGGGUUACUGCUUCAGCUGAAGGGCUCAGGGGUUUUGGCAUUAAAGGACCCAGUUUCAUUCCCCGCUGAAGACCUGGGCUGUGUCUGUGGCCAGUGUCAGCAUGUAGGACCUGCCCACACUUUGCUCUGUGUCUCCUCCUGUUCCAUAUAAUUCCAGUGCAGGUGCCUCUUCUUACUGCAGUAAACCAGCGUGGGAGGUGGCUCAGCACCCCACAGAACCAGAGCGUCCCUGAGAAAGCUCCUGAACAAUGUCUCCGUUCCUUGCUCUGGUGUCUCCCCACUUCCCAUCUCUCUGGAGAGCACAGGGUUGAGGGCAGGUGACUCACCGUGACAAUGACCAUCUCCGGCUACAAAGCUCAGAUCCAGGUUUCCUGGAGUUUGGGGGUUGCUGGGCUCCGGGUCUGGGGAUCAGGCCUAUUUCUCACCCCUCCUUUCCCUAGCAGGGAGGAUGGGACUUUUUGGAAGCCGGAGCCGGGGUUUGUGGAGCAGGAGAAGAGACUCAGCGAUUUCUCUCUGAAAAGUACCAUGCUGCAGGAGGUGCUGCUGGGAUUCAAAGGGGAAUUGGAGUCUGGGGGUGGCGUCUCCUCUGGUUAGAGCGACCCUGGCCCUGGGGAGGAGUCGGAGACUCUAGUGAUGUCACUGAUCCUGGGCUCCAUCUCGCAGCCCCAGCUCAGCGGGUCGCCCUUCCCCAUGGGAGUAGCCCUGUGGGACUGGCUCUGUCUGCAGCGGCUGCGUUAUCGGCCUCAGUCUGUGUCACUAUCCCAUAGUUAACAGCGGUUCCAUUAAUAACCAAUGGGAACCUCCCCAGGAAUGCGAGAGCCUGAAUUCUCACCUCUCCCGUCCUCUCCUUCCCCUAGAGAUGCAGCGACGGGAGCUGGGGAGCGACACAGGUACGUGUCUCUCGCUGAUGGGCCGGGGGAAGAUUUCAGAGCAAUAACCAUGUUAGCGACAGGGGAUUGCAGCCUCCAGCCCUUGGAAGCUGUGGAAUAACGUGAAGUGAUGUUACUUUGUUCCUGCACCACUGUAUUUUCAACUGACUUGUCUCUUCAAUAUUUUAGCUCAUGAACGUCACAUAAGCAUUUAAAUUUUUUUACAGGUUUUUUUAGUACUCUUUUUUUGCUUUUGCUUUUUUUAAUUAUUGCAUUUUUUUACGGCCUAAAUUAAUUUUAGUAAUUUUAUUUUGACAUUUUUAAUUGCAGUAAUACUGCAAGAGUGGUUUUUUAAAUUAAGUUUACACCGUCUGAUUUUAAAGCUUUUUUUUAUUUUAAGACCACUGAGAUUUUGACAAUUUUUCCUGUUUUUGAAUGUCUGCUUGGUACUUUUUUUAAAAAGCACAGAGGCUGAGCAUAUGUAUUUGAAAGUUGUUCGUAUAGUUAGAGGUUUUUAGCUUUUUUGUGCUUUAAAAAAAGACUUUUUGUAUUUGUUGUGACUUUUUAAAAUGGGUAAUGUAUUUACCUUUUUAACUUACUAUUUUAGCGCACUUUUCACUCUUGGGACAGGUUGUAGUUGAUUUUUACACUUUAAAUUAAUAAAACCGCGAUUAGCAGAUAAUUUUCUUAAAACAGCAAUUCAGUCCCUUUUUUGCAUAACUUGUACUUCAAGUAUGAAUAGGUUUUUUUAUUAAAUAUUUGCUCUAAGCAUUUCUUAUGCUGAAAUUCUGCCUUAAAAGAAUGUAUAUUUCCUGGAAUGAUUUUAUACAUUUAAGAUAGAAUCUUAAUUUUUUCCCCAAUACAUUCCUGUUCAUCCCUGGGAUAAUUAAUUUCUGGGGAACAUCUUCAGCAGAGCUAGAAUUAUUACUGAAAGGCGUUGCAGCAGAGAGUAAAGGCACAGAGGCAGUGGACUGUGGGGAACAGAGUAAGUUUCAUUACUAAUGCUGCUCUUUUGAGGGGUCCUUUUAGAAAAUAAUUUAACUUACAAGCACUUAGAGACUUUAAGAAAGUCACUACUCACUGGAGCAAUGGGUCUCGUUGGAACAUAUUUUAACUGACAAGCCCUUACAGCCUUUGUGAGAAAGGAACACGAUAUAACUAUGCUCAAACUUUCAAAAGUGAAAAUUAAGUAUCCUGGAUCAUCAGGGGAAAAAGAGGAAAUACAAGUUAAAACAUAAUCUAAACCAAGCCUCUCAGUUUAGGUUGCUUCUUCUGACUUGGGUUGAGGAACAUUGGAUGAGUUGUGAUGAGAUACAAUCUUGCCAAGUUGAGAGAUGAUUUUCUUUCUUCCCUCUCCCCCAUUUUUAAAAAAAGUCCCCAAAGAAAUAAACGUGGAUGACACAAUUUAUUAUUUUGUUUACUAAUUAAAUCCAUGUCCCUAAGGCCAAAUUUGACAUAGGUAAUUUUGUUCCCACGUUUUCUCGUUCACCAAGCAUGACUAAUCUACUAGCUAUUUAUACUAAUAAACCAGCCCCUGAGCACCCAUGGAGUCGGCGCUUAU